rnacentral:rRNA from 1 species
UGGGGAAUAUUGCACAAUGGGCGCAAGCCUGAUGCAGCCAUGCCGCGUGUGUGAAGAAGGCCUUCGGGUUGUAAAGCACUUUCAGCGGGGAGGAAGGCGAUAAGGUUAAUAACCUUGUCGAUUGACGUUACCCGCAGAAGAAGCACCGGCUAACUCCGUGCCAGCAGCCGCGGUAAUACGGAGGGUGCAAGCGUUAAUCGGAAUUACUGGGCGUAAAGCGCACGCAGGCGGUCUGUCAAGUCGGAUGUGAAAUCCCCGGGCUCAACCUGGGAACUGCAUUCGAAACUGGCAGGCUAGAGUCUUGUAGAGGGGGGUAGAAUUCCAGGUGUAGCGAUGAAAUGCGUAGAGAUCUGGAGGAAUACCGGUGGCGAAGGCGGCCCCCUGGACGAAGACUGACGCUCAGGUGCGAAAGCGUGGGGAGCAAACAGG